rnacentral:ncRNA from 1 species
CUCUGGCAAUGCAGGGCGGAAAGGAG